AUGCUAAAGAAAGUUCUGCAUGUUGAAAGGGAAGUACAUGAGAUAAUAGAUUGAGGCUGCAUGAAGAAAUAAAGAUCUCCAGUGAGAUUAAUGAGAGAACACAGACUCUCAAGAAAAUGUUUCCAGAUUUUUUGGGAUCUCUGACCUAGGAUGAAGAUCUGUCCUUGAAAUUGUGCAACAUGCCUGUAUGUCUUGCUACCAUGAGGAAAGCCAGCCUGAGGACAAAGUAAAUCCAUAGAGGAAGACAAGAACAAGACAAUACAGGAAAAUGAAUUACGGCUCUGAUCAAACCUAGCCCGAAGCUCACAAAGACACCAACCAGGCAGCCCUCCUUUGAGCAUCAUGACCCUACCUCCUUAGAAAAUGCCCACAGAACUAAGAUUGACCCAGCCUGUGUCAUAUGCACACUAAUGUAUCCUGGAAGAGUUGAAGUAUCAUGAUUCACAGCCAUCAGUGGGGAAGGCAACUUCAGAAAAGGAGGAAAGAGUACUGGCCAGAAUGAGGAUGAACGUGUACAACUAAGCUGUCCACACUUCUUCAGACCCUAGCAAGGGCAAAGUUCACAGACUUGCUCAAGGACUGGCUGGAGCAAAGAGGCUCAGCCUGUACCAGAGGGCAGAAUUCUUCCUCCUUUAUCAAACUUGACUUUGACUUCAUUAAAGCAUUGUUCCCAUCAAGUGGACUAUAGGAAUUAGCCAUUAGACUAGCAGCAGCAGCCUUCUGGGUCCUAUCUAAGCAAUAAGUAUUAAUGAUAAUGCAUUUCACAGUCUAUCCACAUAGAAGGUGAAGGCCAAUUCUAGGGUCAGUUGAGACUUCUCCCACAACAGGACUAAGAAUGGAAUAUUCUUGGCAUUGUAUAUGACCAUCACAAGGCACUCAAAAUGUGUUUUAGAAAAGCUUGUUGUCUUGUUCAGCUAUCUGUGCACAUUUUUCUUAUUCCACUAAUGGUUGAGUCCACUGGUUCCUUUAAUAACUUCCUCUAACUUCCAGAAGGCGUUUCCUUAUGUGGAAGGCAAAUGCCUAGGCCAGCAGUUUACUACUUUUGGUUUCAGGACUCCUUUAUCCUUUUAAAAAUUAUUGAGGACUCCAAAGAGUUUUGUUUAUGUGAGUUACAUCUGUCGAUAUUUUGCAGUAUUAGAAAUUAAAAUUGAGAAGGGAGAAGCAGAGAUGAGACACAGAGUCCUGACAGGAUGGAGGUUCCCAUCCCAGCCCCUCUCAGCUGCUCACCUGCCCUUCCACCUUACCUGAGGCAAUAAACUUCCCUUUCAGAAGGAGCUGAUCUGGCUUGGUUUCUGCCACAAGUGAAU